GUUGACAAUAACCUGGAUUAUACCAUCACCAAAUUCUUCGCUUUGUGUUUCAAUGGAUUGCAAUAUAUGACAGUUAUAUACCGUAUUUUUAAACACCAUGAUUCUUGCGUGUUACCAGCCAUCAAAUAAUGUAUUAUUCAAGCGCUAGUGCGAAGCCGCAGCUACCUCGCUGCAAAUAAUUUCCACCGGCGCGGUUGAAAUCUAUACAAACAACUUACACGCUUUAUCCCUGUGUCUUCGUAAUGGUCAUUAUUACAUACUCAUCAGUUUUUUUUUAGCCAGUCUGUCUGUUCCCGGGAUGAAAGAAAGAUAGCGGAUAUGCUAGAAGGAAGAUGGCCUUUAUAAUCAGAAGAGGAAUAUGGUAACAUACAUGAAAAUCAUCAGAACAUGUCUGGACUUUAGAACUACAAUUUGUAAGACAUUUUUGCAAGGUUACAGCCAGUUACACCAAAUUGCACUUACAUUUUUAGGAAAUAAAUUAUUUGUUUUGAUUGCAUUAAAAAAUUGAUUGAU